GACGAACGCUGGCGGCGUGCUUAACACAUGCAAGUCGAACGGAAAGGCCCUGCUUUUGUGGGGUGCUCGAGUGGCGAACGGGUGAGUAACACGUGAGUAACCUGCCCUUGACUUUGGGAUAACUUCAGGAAACUGGGGCUAAUACCGGAUAGGAGCUCCUGCUGCAUGGUGGGGGUUGGAAAGUUUCGGCGGUUGGGGAUAGACUCGCGGCUUAUCAGCUUGUUGGUGGGGUAGUGGCUUACCAAGGCUUUGACGGGUAGCCGGCCUGAGAGGGUGACCGGCCACAUUGGGACUGAGAUACGGCCCAGACUCCUACGGGAGGCAGCAGUGGGGAAUAUUGCACAAUGGGCGGAAGCCUGAUGCAGCAACGCCGCGUGCGGGAUGACGGCCUUCGGGUUGUAAACCGCUUUCGGCUGUGACGAAGCGUGAGUGACGGUAAUGGGUAAAGAAGCACCGGCUAACUACGUG
rnacentral:rRNA from 1 species